GUGUGUGUUUUGUUUUGAUGGCGCUGAGCGAGAAGACAGACACGCCUGGCGACGGCCGAGACGCCGGAAAGAGACACCCCUCUGUGCGGUUAGGCCGGUUUGGCAACGGGUCAAUGUCCUGUAGUUCACUGCCCCCGUGUGGCCAGAAGAGGAAAGACAGGCGUGUGGACUUAGCACCGAAAGCGUUCUCUAGCCCGGGUCCUGCAGCUUUGAUGGACAGGUGCAGAAAGUCAUUUGCGUCCGAGGUCUGGUUUCCUAUUGGUCCGUGGGAAGAUGUGUUGGCCCCUUCUUUGACAGACAUAUCGUUGCU
ensembl:lncRNA